CCUACGGGUGGCAGCAGUGGGGAAUCUUCCGCAAUGGGCGCAAGCCUGACGGAGCAACGCCGCGUGAGUGAAGAAGGUCUUCGGAUCGUAAAGCUCUGUUGAUGGGGACGAACGUGCCUAAUGCGAAUAGUAUUAGGCAAUGACGGUACCCAUCGAGGAAGCCACGGCUAACUACGUGCCAGCAGCCGCGGUAAUACGUAGGUGGCGAGCGUUGUCCGGAAUCAUUGGGCGUAAAGGGAGCGCAGGCGGGCAUGUAAGUCUUUCUUAAAAGUGCGGGGCUCAACCCCGUGAUGGGAAAGAAACUAUGUGUCUUGAGUACAGGAGAGGAAAGCGGAAUUCCCAGUGUAGCGGUGAAAUGCGUAGAUAUUGGGAGGAACACCAGUGGCGAAGGCGGCUUUCUGGACUGCAACUGACGCUGAGGCUCGAAAGCCAGGGGAGCGAACGGGAUUAGAUACCCGAGUAGUC
rnacentral:rRNA from 1 species